rnacentral:rRNA from 1 species
GGCUUAAUACAUGCAAGUCGAACGGUAACAGCAGAAAGCUUGCUUUUUUGGCUGACGAGUGGCGGACGGGUGAGUAAUACCUAGGAAACUGACCUAAACGAGGGGGAUAACAUUUGGAAACGAGUGCUAAUACCGCAUAAUACUGAGAAGUCAAAGGUUGGUUUACCAAUCGCGUUUAGAUGUGCCUAGGAGGGAUUAGCUAGUUGGUGGGGUAAAGGCCUACCAAGGCGAUGAUCUCUAGCUGGUCUGAGAGGAUGACCAGCCACACUGGAACUGAGACACGGUCCAGACUCCUACGGGAGGCAGCAGUAGGGAAUAUUGCACAAUGGGGGGAACCCUGAUGCAGCCAUGCCGCGUGUGUGAAGAAGGCCUUCGGGUUGUAAAGCACUUUCAGUUUGGAGGAAGGUAUUUGAGUUAAUAGCUUAGAUAUUUGACGUUACAAACAGAAGAAGCACCGGCUAACUCCGUG